rnacentral:rRNA from 1 species
AGUGAACGCUGGCGGUAGGCCUAACACAUGCAAGUCGAACGGCAGCACAGUAAGAGCUUGCUCUUACGGGUGGCGAGUGGCGGACGGGUGAGGAAUACAUCGGAAUCUACUUUUUCGUGGGGGAUGACGUAGGGAAACUUACGCUAAUACCGCAUACGACCUACGGGUGAAAGCAGGGGAUCUUCGUACCUUGCGCGAUUGAAUGAGCCGAUGCCGGAUUAGCUAGUUGGCGGGGUAAAGGCCCACCACGGCGACGAUCCGUAGCUGGUCUGAGAGGAUGAUCAGCCACACUGGAACUGAGACACGGUCCAGACUCCUACGGGAGGCAGCAGUGGGGAAUAUUGGACAAUGGGCGCAAGCCUGAUCCAGCCAUACCGCGUGGGUGAAGAAGGCCUUCGGGUUGUAAAGCCCUUUUGUUGGGAAAGAAAAGCAGCAGGUUAAUACCCCGCUGUUCUGACGGUACCCAAAGAAUAAGCACCGGCUAACUUCGUG